UACAGAGGUCCCAAGCGUUGUUCGGAUUCACUGGGCGUAAAGGGUGCGUAGGUGGUGAGGUAAGUCGGAUGUGAAAGCUCGGAGCUCAACUCCGAAAUGGCAUUGGAAACUACCUUGCUCGAGGGUUGGAGGGGGGACUGGAAUGCUUGGUGUAGCAGUGAAAUGCGUAGAUACCAAGCGGAACACCAGUGGCGAAGGCGAGUCCCUGGACAACUCCUGACACUGAGGCACGAAAGCUAGGGGAGCAAACAGG
rnacentral:rRNA from 1 species